rnacentral:lncRNA from 1 species
AGAAUAUUAUUAUAAAUAUUAAUAAUUAGUAAUUUACUUAUACUAUUACUCAAAUUAUCAAUUAUAGGUAUAAUAUUACAAUUUAUAUAUUUCUAAUUUAGAUUUAGUUCUUCCAUUUUCAUGUUCAUCCAUUUUCAGACUUCGGUUGUAGGGAUUGAACGACGGCGGCGGAGGAGGUGUCGGAGGUAGAAAAAGGGUAUAGCGUGGCGGUGGCGUACUGGCGUGGGUGGAACGUGGUGGUUGUGAUCGGUGGAGCGUGGUGGUUGUUUCUGUGCUUGAUGGAUCUGAUGAAAUAAAAAUGGUUUGAUGGAUAAAUAAAGAUCGGAUCUGUAUUUCAAUUUUUUGAUGGUAGGUCUGAUCGAAGGGGAAAGGAGGAAGAGGGCGGUUAGAUCAGAAAUCUGGCAGAAAGGAGGAAGAUGGCGUUUCUCCUUUUCAAAUACAGAAACAAUAAAAUCAUUCCUCCUUUUUCUUUCUUCCACUUUAUUACUUGAUCUAUUUGCCGUGGUAGAUGAUCCGCUUCUCGGCGACGAGGAGAACGUCGGCGAUGGCCGAGAUCAGAUUAGAGCCGCUUGGAUCUGGUUUUGGAGUUCCUCGGCGUUUGGGGUUCCUCUGCCGUGCACGUAAUUAGCCCACCCACUCUCUCACACUCUGAGACUUUUAGAUCUGGUUGAUGCCUCUAUAUGUCUUUUCUGCAAGCAACCAAAUAGUAUCAAGUUAGGAGUUAAUCUAGUUAUUUUAGCCGAUUAUUGUUAUUGUUUUGAAACUAAUUGAUUGGUUUAUUGUUGGGUUUUUUUGAAUUUCUGCCCCCAUCUCGCCGGCAACAAUGGCGACUACUUUUGAACAUGCCGGAAUCUGGGUUUGUUCGGUGCAAAUUAGUUCUUGUUUUUAGUUUUGGGGUUUUCUGUUUUGUGUUGAUUAUUCUGUAUCGAUCGGAUAAUAUCGCUGGAAUCUGGGUUUUUUAGUUUAGUUGAAUGAUGAAUGUGAUGAUUUUGCCCCUGUAGCUACUGAAUGAAUGAUAAGUUUUAAUUUAUUUUUUUAGUUUGAUUUUAGUUGCCCAAAUUUUAUGUUUUUAC